ACGCAGUUUCCGACCGGUAUCUUCGUUGGCACUUUCCGUUUUCCUUUUUCCAAUGGAUAAUGGAAACAAGGGUACCCGGCGUUGUUUACGGCUAUUUGGAUGAUCGUCCGCGGUUUUACGCUUUCGUCCUUUUGCUGGCAGUGUUGGUGGAAACAAGGCGACACGACCAUGUUUUAUUGGACCAUCUCGAUCGUCUUCCAGAUACCUUUUUUGCCCUUUGGUUGGCAACGUCGAUGGAAAUAAUUGUGGGCGCGGUUGCUUUGGCACUUGUUCUAUUUCAUCUUCGUCAGUUCUUUUGCGUUUGCGAAACUUUUCCAGCUCUUGUUGUACUCCUAAUGGUGCCGGUUGCAACACGGUUUCAUCGGAGAAUUGCACAGGGUUUUCGUCAGGCGCUCUUCCAUAAUGCGUCUAGGAACAAUAUAGUACUCAUCCAUUUCCAAUCAACGAUGUUAGGACCCCAGCAAUAACCGGGUGAUGAUAAAGGGUGCUAACGAUUUUACGCGUUCCGACAUUUUGGCAGUUGUGACGAAUUUCGAUCCAAAUAAAUCCUCAUGUGCUCGUUGGGAAAGAUAUGGGAGCGAAUACGUAAGUAUUCUGGGCACGUUGGUCGCAAGUCCAAAAUUAAAGGUUGGUACGGUAGUGCAGUGACCUUACUAUAAGCAGUAACCAGUUGCUUCAGUCCGGUCUGUCUGGCCAAUAAUGCUAUUUGAUUUACAUCUCUCACGUUUUUGAAAAGGACUAGAUACUGUAGAUUGAGGGUGAUGUCCCGCAUGACCUUGCCUUGCUUAAAUAGAUUUUGUAGAAGCACGAUAACUGAAACAUUUUUGUGAUGGAUUCCGCGUGUAAAAAGAUUGGCACACCGCACGUCUUUGCAGAGAUCAGUCGCCAAGUCGUCAAUAACAACUAAUGUAGGCACCUUUUCAUCUAGUGACUCGGAACAGGCAAAGAAUUCGUCCAAUCCUUUAAUAAAUUCUAUAAAAGGGUUUGCAGAUAGUAGCUUUUCGA